ACUACUCUGGAGAGUCUCUUUCAAUAUCUGAAAUGAGCGCCGAAGGUGUACAGCAGGAAUAUAUGCAAAAUAUUUCCUGCCAAUCUCUCAGGCAAAAGGACAGGGCGG
rnacentral:ncRNA from 1 species